AUUUCACACACUGAAAGGAAGGGUCUUGAAAGUUACUUGGACUUAAUCUCGACAGGCAAUUGGGAAUGAUUUCAAAAGGAUGAAAAUGACCUAAACCUGAACUGCCAAGUGAAGGCUGUCAUGAAGAAAAUGUAAAAAAUGAGGACAGUCUGAUUGGAAAGAUGAAAGAUGAAGCUAAAUCUGGAACAUGAUCAAUGCUGGUGAGAGGAAUGGGGGCCCUUGACUCCAUCCAGGGAGAUGAGACCAAGAGGUUACCUCUUGGAAGUUGAAAUCAUUUUAAAUAUACAGCUUUGGAAAAUGUUUUCAGCACAGAUCUGAGGAACAUUUGGGAAGAAUAUCUCAGUACGGAGAGAUAAAGUUUUCUGAGGGCACCACACUGCAAAACACUGGCAAGCAAACAGGAGACACGCAGACCUCACAUGUUAAUUCAGGUGAGUCAUUUCCUCCUUCAUCAUGUUAGUGGUUCCCAUGUUGAUAAUGUGGA